CUGGUAACCUUGUUGCUUUUUUGAUUGCAAUCAGUCUAACGGCUUUCAUCAUUAAAGAAUCGCAUGGUAUCUGCUGCAAUAGAGGAGUCUCAAAACUAUUUUGUUACGAUUGUUCACAGAAGCAGGGUUCCUUUUGUGGGAAAGAAAACUGCAAUAUAUUCGGUUGCGCUUGCGAGGGUGGCUGUGAUGAUAACUGUAAUCCCAUAGUCUCCGAUGCCAAGUGGUCCAUGGAUUCAGGUGGUUUCGUUUAUACUAAGUGCCGUUGUCGCAACAAGAGAUCCGUAACAGACAAAAUAAAAGAUGGAUAUGUCGCUAGGGAUGUCUCUUUCGAUAUCACUGAAA